UAUCCCUGGCUCUGGAACCCGCUUGUUCCAACGGCCGCGCCCCAGAGAUUUCUGGGAGUGCUGGCUGGCGCUCAGUGCGCAGGCGUCGGGCGCUCAGUUUGGGAGGUCGGGUGUGAGAGCGAGCGCGGAGUGGUCCCAGCGUCUUCCCCCGAGUGAGGGAGGUGGGGUUCGCGGGCCGGGAAGGUGCAGAGGGAGAGCCGGAGGUGGUGAGGCAAUCAACCUCGGAUUCGCAUGGAACCGUCUGUGUCGAGAGUGAGAGAAAGCUAUGUCGGGCCGACUGCGAGUCUUUCAGAGGCAGGAGUGUCUACAGGGGUUCAACGAGCAAAUCAGCCUGCGUGUGAUCGAUCGUGUGUGACAGUGAAAAUAUAAUGGUCAAGUUAUUUCUUCCUUAAAUAUUAAUUUAAUGAGCUGCGAAAGGAAGAAAAUGCUCAGAGAAUCAGAGAGACAAGUCAAAAGGACACAGAAGCCAGCGUUAAUGGGCUCCCACUGGCCAAAUCUGGGACAAUUUGAGUAUGAAAAUAAAUAGUAACAGAUUAUAAUUCAUUGUGUCGAGUAAAAAUCUAUGAAUUCAUAUUUACAAAUUAACAAAUAAGUCAGGGAGAAGGGAAAGGUCUAAAGCUCUUUACAGUAGAAUGCCAACUAAUUAAUACAGACAAAAUAAUGGAGAUAAAAAUAAAAAACUCUGUCAUUUUGAAAAUAUCAUAGCAAUAACAGAUCUGACAUUAAUUAUCAAUGGAUGCUAAAACCAGUGAGUGAAAGUUUGAUGACAAGUUGUUUACACAGUUUCAAAAUCUCUCUCCACAAUUAUUUAUUCAUUACAAAUAGACAACUAUCAAUUUUAAAGUGGACAAACAUGGUAGAUAUCACCUUAACAAAUUAUCAAAAUUAACAUCUCCAGAGAUGGGACAAAUCAACAUCAUGUAUCUCCUGAUCUGAAGCACUGAGAAGGAUACACUAUCACUUCUGUGGUGUUCCUGCCACAAAAUUUACAACCUGAAUGCAAGCAUGAGGAACAAAAAGGCAAACCCAAAUUAAGGGACUUCCUACAGAAUAAUUGGCUUACCCUCUCCAAAAAUGUCAAGGCCAAGAAAAAGAGAGAACACUUCUUCCAGAUUAAAGACUAGAGAGAAACAAUAACUUAAUUAAAUCUGUGAUCCUAGACUGGAUCCUGGACAAUGUGUGGGGAAAGGGUAGGAUGGACUGUUAUAAAGAAUAUCAUUGGGAUGAGUGAAAAAUUUUAAUUAUGCAUUAUGGAUUAGAGAACGGUAUCAUAUAAAUAUUAAACUUUCAUAUUUUAAUGACUACUGUGGUUAUAAAAGAGAAUACUCUUGUUCUUAGGAAAUGACAUACUGAAGUAUUUAAAGAUGAAGGGGCAAAAUGUCUGCUACUUAUUCUCAAAUGGUUUAAAUAAAACGUGUGUGUAGUUUGUGUGUGUGUGUGUGUGUGUGUGUGUGGAGUGAGAGGAAGAGAAAACAAUUAAGUUCAUAUGAGAAUGAUAAUGCAAAUAGGCCAAAAUGUAACAAUUGGUAAAUCUGAGUAACUGGUACACAGGAAUACUGCA